CACGUAGUUAGCCGUGGCUUCCUCAUAAAGUACCGUCACUUGCAUGUCAUCCCCUACAUGCAUCGUUCUUCCUUUAUAACAGAGGUUUACAUACCGAAAUACUUCCUCCCUCACGCGGCGUUGCUCGGUCAGGGUUCCCCCCAUUGCCGAAAAUUCCCUACUGCUGCCUCCCGUAGGAGUCUGGGCCGUGUCUCAGUCCCAGUGUGGCCGUCCACCCUCUCAGGUCGGCUACGCAUCGUCGCCUUGGUAGGCCGUUACCCUACCAACUAGCUAAUGCGCCAUAAGUCCAUCCUUCAGCUAUCCCGUGGGAUAUUUAAUAUGUCGAUCAUGCGAUCUUCAUACCUAUGCGGUCUUAGCUAUCAUUUCAAUUAGUACUCCCCUCUUAGCCAGGUUACUAUGUAUUACUCACCGUUCGCCACUCAUAUCCGAAGAUAUGUCGUUCGACUUGCAUGUAUUAGGCUACGCCGCCAGCGUUCACUCCUGAGCCAGGAUACUAAA
rnacentral:rRNA from 1 species